UGUUUUUAUUUUGUAGGUAUAGCUUAUGGGAGACGAGAGGAUCCGCGAAUAUCCUUCGAACUCGAAGGAUAUCCCAUAAUAGGGAGUAUCUCCUACUUUUUCUUUUAAUUUACGCUUUCCAUUUAUUUUAUUUUCUUGCAUAUCCCGGGACUUGCAUGCAUUAAUUUUGUUCCUAAAUUUAAUACUAACUUGUUUUUUAAGUGUGUUUUUAUUUUGUAGGUAAAGCUUAUGGGAGACGAGAGGAUCCGCGAAUAUCCUUCGAACUCGAAGGAUAUCCCAUAAUAGGGAGUAUCUCCUACUUUUUCUUUUAAUUUACGCUUUCCAUUUAUUUUAUUUUCUUGCAUAUCCCGGGACUUGCAUGCAUUAAUUUUGUUCCUAAAUUUUAUACUAACUUGUUUUUUAAGUGUGUUUUUAUUUUGUAGGUAAAGCUUAUGGGAGACGAGAGGAUCCGCGAAUAUCCUUCGAACUCGAAGGAUAUCCCAUAAUAGGGAGUAUCUCCUACUUUUUCUUUUAAUUUACGCUUUCCAUUUAUUUUAUUUUCUUGCAUAUCCCGGGACUUGCAUGCAUUAAUUUUGUUCCUAAAUUUUAUACUAACUUGUUUUUUAAGUGUGUUUUUAUUUUGUAGGUAAAGCUUAUGGGAGACGAGAGGAUCCGCGAAUACCCUUCGAACUCGAAGGAUAUCGCAUAAUAGGGAGUAUCUCCUACUUUUCCUUUUAAUUUACGCUUUCCAUUUAUUUUAUUUUCUUGCAUAUCCCGGGACUUGCAUGCAUUAAUUUUGUUCCUAAAUUUUAUACUAACUUGUUUUUUAAGUGUGUUUUUAUUUUGUAGGUAAAGCUUAUGGGAGACGAGAGGAUCCGCGAAUAUCCUUCGAACUCGAAGGAUAUCCCAUAAUAGGGAGUAUCUCCUACUUUUUCUUUUAAUUUACGCUUUCCAUUUAUUUUAUUUUCUUGCAUAUCCCGGGACUUGCAUGCAUUAAUUUUGUUCCUAAAUUUUAUACUAACUUGUUUUUUAAGUGUGUUUUUAUUUUGUAGGUAAAGCUUAUGGGAGACGAGAGGAUCCGCGAAUACCCUUCGAACUCGAAGGAUAUCGCAUAAUAGGGAGUAUCUCCUACUUUUCCUUUUAAUUUACGCUUUCCAUUUAUUUUAUUUUCUUGCAUAUCCCGGGACUUGCAUGCAUUAAUUUUGUUCCUAAAUUUUAUACUAACUUGUUUUUUAAGUGUGUUUUUAUUUUGUAGGUAAAGCUUAUGGGAGACGAGAGGAUCCGCGAAUAUCCUUCGAACUCGAAGGAUAUCCCAUAAUAGGGAGUAUCUCCUACUUUUUCUUUUAAUUUACGCUUUCCAUUUAUUUUAUUUUCUUGCAUAUCCCGGGACUUGCAUGCAUUAAUUUUGUUCCUAAAUUUUAUACUAACUUGUUUUUUAAGUGUGUUUUUAUUUUGUAGGUAAAGCUUAUGGGAGACGAGAGGAUCCGCGAAUACCCUUCGAACUCGAAGGAUAUCGCAUAAUAGGGAGUAUCUCCUACUUUUCCUUUUAAUUUACGCUUUCCAUUUAUUUUAUUUUCUUGCAUAUCCCGGGACUUGCAUGCAUUAAUUUUGUUCCUAAAUUUUAUACUAACUUGUUUUUUAAGUGUGUUUUUAUUUUGUAGGUAAAGCUUAUGGGAGACGAGAGGAUCCGCGAAUACCCUUCGAACUCGAAGGAUAUCCCAUAAUAGGGAGUAUCUCCUACUUUUUCUUUUAAUUUACGCUUUCCAUUUAUUUUAUUUUCUUGCAUAUCCCGGGACUUGCAUGCAUUAAUUUUGUUCCUAAAUUUUAUACUAACUUGUUUUUUAAGUGUGUUUUUAUUUUGUAGGUAAAGCUUAUGGGAGACGAGAGGAUCCGCGAAUACCCUUCGAACUCGAAGGAUAUCCCAUAAUAGGGAGUAUCUCCUACUUUUUCUUUUAAUUUACGCUUUCCAUUUAUUUUAUUUUCUUGCAUAUCCCGGGACUUGCAUGCAUUAAUUUUGUUCCUAAAUUUUAUACUAACUUGUUUUUUAAGUGUGUUUUUAUUUUGUAGGUAAAGCUUAUGGGAGACGAGAGGAUCCGCGAAUAUCCUUCGAACUCGAAGGAUAUCCCAUAAUAGGGAGUAUCUCCUACUUUUUCUUUUAAUUUACGCUUUCCAUUUAUUUUAUUUUCUUGCAUAUCCCGGGACUUGCAUGCAUUAAUUUUGUUCCUAAAUUUUAUACUAACUUGUUUUUUAAGUGUGUUUUUAUUUUGUAGGUAAAGCUUAUGGGAGACGAGAGGAUCCGCGAAUAUCCUUCGAACUCGAAGGAUAUCCCAUAAUAGGGAGUAUCUCCUACUUUUUCUUUUAAUUUACGCUUUCCAUUUAUUUUAUUUUCUUGCAUAUCCCGGGACUUGCAUGCAUGAAUUUUGUUCCUAAAUUUUAUACUAACUUUUUUUUUAAGUGUGUUUUUAUUUUGUAGGUAAAGCUUAUGGGAGACGAGAGGAUCCGCGAAUAUCCUUCGAACUCGAAGGAUAUCCCAUAAUAGGGAGUAUCUCAUACUUUUUCUUUUAAUUUACGCUUUCCAUUUAUUUUAUUUUCUUGCAUAUCCCGGGACAUGCA